CAAAAAUCAAUGAUCGUUUUUCUAUGAAGCAAGGUUGAUUCUGUUAUGGCAAAUUUUAACUUGUGCUGUGUUUUGCAGUGAAAGUCCAGUAUGAAAAUUAACCAGUGGUAACUAUCUAGCCAUAACUUCCCAGCAAAAACACUUCCAGUGGCAUGUUUUUAUGCAGCAGUAGAGCUACCUUCCCUCUGUUGAACGAGUUGGAGUGAAGGAGUUAGUGUAACAGCUUUUAACAUACCCUUAUCUUUCAUGGUUGCCAUGGGAAUAUUUUCAUGGCAGGUCUGCACAGCCCACAUGUUUUCCGAAGCAGCAGUUAGAGCAGAAAAGCAGCUCUAUACCGUAUUAAAUCAUGUGCCUCACUCUUUGCUACCUGCAGACAGCAGCAAGUGGCAGGAGGAGUGUAAGGAACCAGUUUUCUAUUUACUUCCUUUUACACUAAAUCCUCACCAAAUCACUGGUUCCAUGCUGCUGCAACUUUUCUCCUACCUGGAGAAAGCCAGAAGAAGGCUCAGAGACUGGAAAAUUUUGCACACAUAAAAGUUACUAUUGGCUAAACAGCUCUCUUCAGUCACUUUCACUACUCUGUACUGCUCCUGAUUCACCUCCAUCUUCUGUCCACAUGCUUCUCUGUGAAUCAUUGACCUUGCAGCCAGGUGCUGAAGCUGUAGCUAUGUAUCUCCUUGCUCAGACUGAAAACUCCUGCUGAUGUGCCAAACUGCUGCAGAGAUCUCUUCUCCUGUCCGCUGGAGAAUGAAGUACAUGAUUUUUAAAAUGGGUAGCUCCUCAGAGACCAGCUUGUUAUUGCCCCAGAUUUGAUGAUUAUUCCUUCAGAAAGUCACUAGUUUUGAGCCUUUUGAGGUGCAUCCAACCAAGACACUGCGAUUACUACCCUUAGGUGAGGAAGGCAUCAGUUGGUGCACAGCUGUAGACCAGAAAGUGCUCAUAGCAUUCAGGUGUGCUAGAGUUAUCCGCUACAGCCAUAAGCAAAGCAAGUAAUUGCAGAAGAAAUAAAGAGCUGCUGUGCUGCUGUGAGCAAACAUUGCUGAGGUAUCACUCUGCUAUUUCUUAUUUAUUUAUGUUAAUGCAAGCUGUCCCUUUGCAGUGCUCUGACCCUCUUUGGCAGCAGUUCUGCCCAUCUUUUUUACCCAGAUUUAAUUAGUAUGGUUUAAAAUUCUAGGAAUAAGAAAACCUGAUAAUGGAAUAGCAGUGCAGAGACCUUCACAACCCUGAGAAUCACUGUUCUUCUCUGAAGGGACUGAUGUUGUAUCUGAAGAUACCACUUCCUUUGCUGAAUCAUUUUCAGUGUCCUUUAAUGCAGUAUAAAAAAAAUGGUCUGUGGCUUCUCUGAAGAUCUCAGACCAUCUCAACAGAGAUGAUAACCUCUGAGGAACAAGGAGAAUUUACUAAGGAGUAGAUUCUGUUGUACGAGUAAAACAUCUGCUGAAGUCCUUGAAUUUUUUUUUGUGAAUGGUGUAGAUUAAAAAGGAGUACUUUAAAAAAAAUCCUAACUUAAAAAUGCAUGUGUGAAAACACUGUGUAGCAUACCCAGUAUUAAAGAUUGUUUAGA